rnacentral:rRNA from 1 species
UACGUAGGCAGCAAGCGUUGUUCGGAAUUACUGGGCGUAAAGAGUGUGUAGGCGGUUCUCUAAGUCUGUUGUGAAAUCUCCCGGCUUAACCGGGAGGGUGCGGCGGAAACUGGAGUGCUUGAGGGUGGGAGAGGUAAGCGGAAUUCCUGGUGUAGCGGUGAAAUGCGUAGAUAUCAGGAGGAACACCUGUGGUGUAGACAGCUUACUGGACCACUUCUGACGCUGAGACACGAAAGCGUGGGUAGCAAACAGG